AUCUUCGCUUCACCUAUCAAUUUUUCAGUUAUCGCCAUAGGUUUCUUGUUCACUGCUGAAUUCAGGCUUUAUUCUACCGGAUUUAUUCAACCUAUUACAUGCUUGCAAAUCCGGUAAAAUAGCUGUAAAUAUUUUAGUCUAUCUCGUUCCUGUAACUGCGCGUUCCAGAUUUUUGCCUCCCCUACCCAGCCAUAUUGUCCAGACUUCAUCUACAUGGCCAAAAAAAAGAGAAGAAGAAGAAAAAAAAUAGAGAGACCAUUCUGCUGGUAUUGUGAAAGAAAGUUCGUAGAUGAGCGCAUUUUAGUGAUGCACCAGAAGGCUCGACACUUCAAAUGUCCUCAUUGCCUAAAAAAACUAGGGAGUGUUUCUGGUUUGGUAGUACAUAUCUUCCAAAUGCAUAAGGAAAAGAUAACAAAAGUCCCAAAUUCUAAGCCAAAUCAUGAUUCAAUUCACUACGAUAUAUAUGGCAUGGACGGUGUGCCGUACGAAGAUAUUGUGGAAUAUCGUAACCGAAACAUGAACCAGAACAAAAAAAAACAAAUCAAUGCCGCCAGCAGCUCUUCUACUGGUGGUAAUGCAAAUACCAAGGCAAACUCCAGCCAGAAGUCUAGUAGUCAGAGUUAUCCUCAGGAAGUACCACAAAACUCUUGGCAAUCGUCAAAUAAUUUAGCUUCGCAAAAUUAUUGGUCUUCUCCCGAUAAGCUGAGCUAUGGGCAGAAUCCCCUGCUUUCCUCCCAAUUUGUAAAUUCCACUACUUCGAAAGGUGUCGUCCUCGUAUUCGACAACGCAGAAUUGUCCCAGGAAGAACUCAGAGCCAAACUCGAUCGUUAUGCCUACAAUACUGAGACGAACAUGCGUAGAAUGGAGCAGCUAGAUGAAAAGUUUGAAUCCAGAUUAGCCCAUCUAACUCAUUAGUAGUCCCUUUUAGAUUAAUGGAAAUUAGUACACAAUACCCUUAUGUAUCUGUAUAAAUAUCAGCACUUGAUCUAUUAUGUUUUCUUGUUUUCCGCUUGUUUCCUGUUCGGAGAAGUCCUCUCCGAUAAGCUCGCAUUUCAAUGGGGAGCACUGAAAUUUACGUCACCCAUAACCCUUCGGAGAGUGUCCAUGGCAGAGUUGAAUGCUACACUCUAUUACAAUUAUGAAGAUCAAAUACUACAGUACAUAAUCGAUACGAAUGAAGACACUACGACAACUGAGAUGUACAAUUAUCGACAGGAAAAUGUACCGCCAAUUUUGACUUUUUUGUCUCGUACAAUAUGUCUAACCGUUCUUGCAGCAACCAGUGGGUUACAAAAUUUGUCCGGACAGUUGUGUAGAAAUUAUGACGCAAGACGCCCAACAGAUGGACAUCUUUUUUCCAACUUCGAACUCGAGAAAGUUAAGUAGAGCCUGCGAUGCAGAAUUCAAGAAUCACAACUGCUCAGUUUGGCACACUCACCACUCUAAUUUCGUGUACGUGGUACAAGUGGUCAAAUAUCUACCCGCGAAGGCAUCGGUGUACACGAAUGGCGUAUGGGUCAGGAACAUCACCUUCCACGAUAUAAAAGACAUCGGGUACAGAGUAACCCCAGAGAACUAUCCAUUGUGUGGUGCGAUACCUGCCCAACGAUACAUGUUUGAUAUUUGCUUUUUGCUAGAUGGAAGUGGUAGCAUCCUCGAGGAAGAUUUUCAAAAAAUGGGCUACUACAUAGCCAAAUGGAUACGAGAGUCGUGCAAUUCGUGGAAAGGAAGAGGACAAAAUUAUUGUGUAUAUUCCUCAAAUAUUCGAAUCAGGUUUAAUAUUGUCCAGACGAGUAAUUUUGCUACGGAAAUCAACAAUUUCGACGAGCCUCUUGACAAUACUGUGUACAAUUUAGAGCAUUUGGAGAGGCCUGGAGGUCUCACAGAUAUUGGAGAUGGAUUGGCAAUGUGUCACAAAUUAUUCUCCAGGGGUAAAUCUAAAAUUCCUGACGGUUAUUUGCUGUACAACAAAGUUGUCCUUAUUUCAGAUGGGAAUUACACCAAACAUCGAGCGUUCCCUCUGAACCCCACAAAUCUGAUCGGCGAACUUCAGAGUCAAAAUGUGGAAAUCUUUGGCGUCAGCGUGUAUGAAGAUACGUCGUCGAUGUGGGAUCUUGUCUCCGAUCCUAAGAGUACACAUUUACUAGAUUGGAACAUGUAUGGUCUCACCCAAAGCGUACAGCUGGUUAGCGCAGAGUCGCGUCUUUGCAGACAAAGCAACUGCGAAUUCAGAUACUGUUCUUGUAACGGAUGCGUAUGUCCAAAUGUCGACGGAGUAUGUGGAGACUACACCGACCCUGAGUCUAUUGUCGUUGCCGGUGUGCCAGAUUCAAACGUCAACAUCAGUGCCAGUGGAACCACCACCAGUGGAACCACCACCAAUUCUCAAAAAGCAAUCAAAUCAUCCUCCUCCAGUAGUAGUAACAUCGUGUGGACCGCAGUAGCUGCGUCCUGUCUAGCUGCUUCGGCACUCGGCGUCAUCCUCUUUAUCCGCUUUAGACCCAAGAAAGUGAACACCAUUGAGAUGUCAACUGCAAAUAGUUCCUUCCAGGAAAAUCCCCUUUAUUCAGAGACGAAACGAUAUGACAAUCCGUUAUACGUUCCUUUAGACUCAGAUUAUUGAAAGUAUAUCGCAGAGCGCGUAACAUCAUACAGCAUACAUGCUUCUCAUCCAUGACAAUUACGGCCUUUCCUUCAUAGCAGAAGGUCGCGUUCCUAUCGAAACCCAUAAUUAAUUUCUAUCUAUUAUGGCGACAAAAGUAUAUAGGUACCAUUUAUUUUCAAAUUGUGUACAUUUUUAUGUCAGUUUUUUUCAGUUCUCCUUGGCAGCUUAUAAUGGGAGUUACCCUUUUCAAAUGUCUUAGUGCUGCUACCUCAGACUCCAAGUUGAAAGACGACAUAGAAAAAAUUAAUAGAUUAAGUAUGUGCGCUCCCGGCUCCGAAUUUUUCUUUGAAUACAUUUUGAACACAGAUGACGACCGCAUACGCGUAUACCGCCGAUGCAAGUCGUCAGAGCUCGCUUUGUGGUCGGAAAUAGGGGUUGAAGACUUUUACGUUGUUUAUAAUACGUUGUGUUUUUAUCAAAAUGGUUACAGAGACUUGUUUGACGACUAUUCUGGUCACGACACUCUGAGCACACUGGGCCGAGAAAGUGAAUUGCCGUACAGGGAGGAAUGCGUGAUCUGUAUGGACAAGAAUUCCAACGCCGUGCUUUCAAAAUGCAAUCAUUCGUUCUGUAUGGAGUGUUUAGAUAAAUGGAUAAAAACCAACAAGACCGCGUGCCCGCUUUGUUUCACGAAAAUGGACCCGAAAGAAAGUGACCAGAUGUGGAUACUGAUAGAUGACAGUGCCGGCCAUUCUCGUGAUCCAAACGGAUUAAUUGAAGAACAGCUAUCAAAGAUUGAGAUACAAAGUUUAAAAUGUGCAUAAAAUUUUAUGGAAUAAUUCUAAAUAAUGAUAAAGUCUCAACUUAACACAAUAUUUGUGAAAGAGAGUUUCAUUGUGGCUAUUUCUUCUUCGAAAAAUCUGAACCAGUUCCGCAACUGUUGGCGGACUACAUUAUAUUAUUGCACAGAGGGCGACGCGACAACAGACAACAGCUAAUUAUUCUAACAAUAAAGUUUUUCAUCUAAAAAUUCA